UACGAAGGGGGCUAGCGUUGCUCGGAAUCACUGGGCGUAAAGCGCACGUAGGCGGCUUUCUAAGUCAGGGGUGAAAUCCUGGAGCUCAACUCCAGAACUGCCUUUGAUACUGGGGAGCUCGAGUCCGGAAGAGGUGAGUGGAACUCCGAGUGUAGAGGUGAAAUUCGUAGAUAUUCUGAAGAACACCAGUGGCGAAGGCGGCUCACUGGUCCGGUACUGACGCUGAGGUGCGAAAGCGUGGGGAGCAAACAGG
rnacentral:rRNA from 1 species